UGAGUAACCUGCCCUUAACUCUGGGAUAAGCCUGGGAAACUGGGUCUAAUACUGGAUAUGACUCCUCAUCGCAUGGUGGGGGGUGGAAAGCUUUAUUGUGGUUUUGGAUGGACUGGCGGCCUAUCAGCUUGUUGGUGAGGUAAUGGCUCACCAAGGCGACGACGGGUAGCCGGCCUGAGAGGGUGACCGGCCACACUGGGACUGAGACACGGCCCAGACUCCGUACGGGAGGCAG
rnacentral:rRNA from 1 species